UACGUAGGGUGCGAGCGUUGUCUGGAAUUAUUGGGCGUAAAGAGCUCGUAGGCGGUUUGUCGCGUCGACUGUGAAAACCUACAGCUUAACUGUGGGCUUGCAGUCGAUACGGGCAGACUUGAGUUCGGUAGGGGAGACUGGAAUUCCUGGUGUAGCGGUGAAAUGCGCAGAUAUCAGGAGGAACACCGGUGGCGAAGGCGGGUCUCUGGGCCGAUACUGACGCUGAGGAGCGAAAGCGUGGGGAGCGAACAGG
rnacentral:rRNA from 1 species